AUUGAACGCUGGCGGCAGGCCUAACACAUGCAAGUCGAACGGUAACAGGGAUCAGCUUGCUGUUUCGCUGACGAGUGGCGGACGGGUGAGUAAUGUCUGGGAAACUGCCUGAUGGAGGGGGAUAACUACUGGAAACGGUAGCUAAUACCGCAUAACGUCGCAAGACCAAAGAGGGGGACCUUCGGGCCUCUUGCCAUCGGAUGUGCCCAGAUGGGAUUAGCUAGUAGGUGGGGUAACGGCUCACCUAGGCGACGAUCCCUAGCUGGUCUGAGAGGAUGACCAGCCACACUGGAACUGAGACACGGUCCAGACUCCUACGGGAGGCAGCAGUGGGGAAUAUUGCACAAUGGGCGCAAGCCUGAUGCAGCCAUGCCGCGUGUAUGAAGAAGGCCUUCGGGUUGUAAAGUACUUUCAGCGGGGAGGAAGGGAGUAAAGUUAAUACCUUUGCUCAUUGACGUUACCCGCAGAAGAAGCACCGGCUAACUCCGUG
rnacentral:rRNA from 1 species